rnacentral:rRNA from 1 species
GACGAACGCUGGCGGCGUGCUUAACACAUGCAAGUCGAACGGUGAAGCGCCUUCCUUUUUGGUGGGUGUGGAUGAGUGGCGCACGGGUGAGUAACACGUGAGUAACCUGCCCCCUUCUUCUGGAUAACCGCAUGAAAGUGUGGCUAAUACGGGAUAUUCUGGGUCUGUCGCAUGAUGGGUCUGGGAAAGUUAUUGUUUCGGUGGGGGAUGGGCUCGCGGCCUAUCAGCUUGUUGGUGGGGUGAUGGCCUACCAAGGCGGUGACGGGUAGCCGGCCUGAGAGGGUGGACGGUCACACUGGGACUGAGACGCGGCCCAGACUCCUACGGGAGGCAGCAGUGGGGAAUAUUGCGCAAUGGGCGCAAGCCUGAUGCAGCGACGCCGCGUGAGGGAUGGAGGCCUUCGGGUUGUGAACCUCUUUCGCCAGUGAAGCAGGCCUGCCUCGUUUGUGGGUGGGUUGACGGUAGCUGGAUAAGAAGCGCCGGCUAACUACGUG